UGCAGUCUCUGUAAAAUAUGUUUGGUAUGAAAGAAAAAUUUAAGCCAACUGUAAGUACAGCUGGAGUUGGAAUUGUUUUAACAUUUUUGAAAGGUUAUUAAGACAUGCAAACAGCUGUCUGGAAACUUGGGUUCUGCAUUUGACAAAGAUGCAGAGAAAUAGAGGUGGGGAUAAUUUUGGAAAGCACUGCAGUUCCUCUUUCUUUAGUGUUUUUUUAGUGCCAGUGUCCUUCGAAAGUGCCUUUUCAUGCCCUAUCCUAUUCCCUCAAACAAAAACAGGAACAGAAGAGGUGAAGAGGAUCAGCCAGACUCUAGUUCUUAAACCUUGUUUACAUGAAGUGUCCUAAACAUGCUGGAUCAGUCAAACUGAUCAGACAAUCUAGGAAAAAACACAGUCCUAAUAAUUUCUGAAUAAGUCAUGGAAUAUUCUUUCAUAUGCUAAACCACUGAAAAUGGAAACUUCUGAAUUUGUCCUUGCUAGGGAUGAAACAACAUGAAAAAAAAUUAUUAUAAUAAUAUUUAUAUUUAAUAUUUAAAAUAUUUUUAUUUAACCACAAUAAAAUACUUAUCAAAAACCAAUGACCAAAAAUAUGUGCAGGAAGUGUGACUGAGAAAUAAAAUUUUAAAAAUAAAAACAAACAAAAAUAAAACAAACAAAAAAGGUAAACUCAGGAUACCAAUUAUUUCAACCCCACAAAUAUCUUAGACCAUGAGAGCACCACCAUGGCAGAUAUCAUCUUAAUCCACACUCAUUCUAGCAAUAGGAGCUGUGCUUGACCUCUUAUAGACAGUUCUGAAAUUCACCACAUGAGUUUUCACAGACUCACAGAAUAUCUUGGGUUGGAAGGAACCCACAAGGAUAAUCGAGUCCAGCUCCUGGCCCUACAGAGCACCACCCCCAAGAGUCACACCAUGUGCCUGAGAGCAUUGUCCAAACACUUCUUGAAAUCCGUCAGGUUUGGUGCUGUGACCACUUCCUUGAGGAGCUUGUGCCAGUGCCCAGCCACCCUCUGGGUGAAGAACCUUUUCCUUAUAUCCAACCCAAACCUCCCUGCCACAGCUUCAGGCCAUUCCCUCAGUCCUGUCAUGGGUUACACAGGGCAGGGAUCAGUGCCUGCCCCUCCUCUUCUCCUCACAAAGAAGUUGUGACUGCAAUGAGGUCUCCCCUCAGUCUCCUCCAGGCUGAACAGACCAAGUGAUCUCAGCUGCUCCUACAACCCAGCAGCUUUAAAAGAAAACCUGAGCGUUCCCAGUCCUGCACCUACAUAAUAGCUGGAAGAUGACUGUGAAAUGUUUUGAGUUCUUUGUGAAUGUGUUGCUAUUAGAGAGUGAUUAUGGAAACCUAAAUAUCUCCAGAGACAACACCUCUCUGUAACCCUGUAGCCCUGCAAUGCAGUUCUGCCUUCCAGCAAGAACCCAUGAGCUCUGCAGGGGCUCUCCAAGGCCUCAGGACUGAGACUCCUCAGUGAGUGACUUUAGGGGCCACGGUUGAGGCUGUUAUUCUCUCCAGUUGGUCCAGACUUCCUGAAGGUCCAGAGGAAAGUGGAAGGUCCACAAAGAAGAUUUUGAGCAUAAUGCUGUAUUAUUUCCUGCACAGAAGGUGAAGAAAUGUUUAAUGGCAACUUGGGGGUGCCUAAGACAAGACACUGUUUCCUGAAGAAACAAGAUGUUUCCAGUCAAGAGCCUCUCUGGAAAGCCACGGCUGUUGCCCAGUUUGGGUGAGCCCACUCUCUUGCUGAGUCCUGCCUGUCCCAUUUCUGGCCCAGGCAGGUUUCCAGCCUAAUAAUACUACUCUUGCUGUCUGCUGAGAGCUGCUGUGCCUGUGAGAGCCCCACACCCUGAGCAAUUUACCGUAAAGGAGGAACUGUGCUACCAUGCAGAACUGAGAGCUUUACUCAAACGGAUAAGCUCGGAUUGCUGUAGGCACAUGGAAACAAACAUGCCCAGAGCUUAGCAGGCACAGAGUGCCACAUCCAGGUAACCUCUUGAACACUUCCAGAGAUGGUGAGCUCACUUGGAUUGGAGGGCAGUUCCUGUUCUUCUGGGACACACAGCAACAGCAUAAGAGAGAUCCCCUCCCAAGUCUCCAUAAUCAAGACUGUCACCUGCUGCCAGCAGCUGCUGGAGCCUGUGAAGGACUCAUGCUCACAGUUUACAGAGUGCAUUCUUUAUUAAUACAAUAGAAAAAUUUGACGUGAUAAAGUCCAAAGAUUGAUGGUGAUAGUAUCUGGCUGCAAAAAUAUACUCAAAGCAAUACACAGGCAAGUUCUAAUCACCAAUAAAAGAUCCUGAUAAUAAUUCAGCAAGCAUGAAUUGCAGUUCUUACCCAAUAUGCAUCCCUAUGGAGAAGAAGACAAGUUCACUUGUUGACUGAUCUCAGAAGUUAUGGUGGAGUUUUCUUUUACUUCUUCCCAUUCUUAACUUACUUUUAUACUGGUUUUGCAUUUAAGGAGAGCCUAAGUGACUCGUCAUGCAUCAUGCUCACUGUGAAGUGGUUGCACUUGGGAAGUGGUAAUCCCAUUUAGAGAUGAGCAUCUGCAUUUCAAUUUAUGCAUGAUUUGGAAAGGGACUGCACAGGGGUGGAAGAGGAAAGCAAGGAAAGAAAAAGGAAAAAAAGAGAUUCAGAGGCAGACAUUAUUCAAAACCACAGUCAAGGACACGGUGAAUGUAGGUUAGAUAUUAAUAGGCUGCUGGAUAACUUUAUUGCUCCAAAAUGCCUAUUAAGAAAUCAGAUUUUAUUCUUGCCAGAAGUUACUUACUUCCCACAAAUAAUGUUUUCCUGAAACUCUUUCCUUACUUUAUAACUAUGAAAUAAGAAGAAAUGAAAAUUAAGAAGGAGGAACCUUCUCUUGUUGAAGUAGCUGGCAAUAUAUCCAAACCCAAAAAGUUCAGUGCUCAGGAACUGAAAAUCUGAACCUGAAUUUUUCUGAUUAAAGUUACCUAGCCA